UUUCCGUAGGUGAACCUGCGGAAGGAUCAUUCAUAAUAAAGUGUUUUAUGGCACUUUUUAAAAAUCCAUAUCCACCUUGUGUGCAAUGUUAGAUCUCGUCAAUCUUGGCGAGAUUUUUAUACAUCAACUCAUUUUUUAACUAGUUUGUCUGAAAAAUAUUAUGAAUACUUAAUUCAAAAUACAACUUUCAACAACGGAUCUCUUGGCUCUCACAUCGAUGAAGAACGCAGC
rnacentral:misc_RNA from 1 species